CCACCCGCCCGGCCACCCGCUCAUCCGCCCGGCCAUUCAGUGUGGAGCUUUCCCUUCCCUCCAGCAAGCCGACCCCGCUAUCCUGCCAGGGAAACGUCGCUUUUUCACUGGAUUUGCUGGCCUGUCUAAUUGCCUUUGCCGGUUCCUCGCAGAUUAUUAUGGGAGGUGACCUCAAUUAGGUCUGGGACCCAGCUACUGAUUCUUCCUCAGGGAGAAGUAGCAUAUGCUGAUAGGCCCCGUUAGCACAGGCAUCAGGGUAGAGAGCCUCAGGCAGCCCGAUCCACAUCAAUUCCCACCAAAAAGCAGUUGUCAAGUCAAAAGAAUUCACACAGCAAAUAGUUGAUUUCAUCCUGGUUGAGUACUCCUUUGCACAUGAACAUUCGAGGACACUGUUCAAAAUGCCACAUGGUAGAAGGGAAGACAGGAAAAGGCCGGGUAUAAGGCGCAAACCACUCCAGACGUCUCUUCAAAGGAGAGGAGAAAGGUGACCAAUAACCACCGCCGACUCUGACCCUGACCAGCGACCUAGGGCUAUGUAAAACCAUUUGCUCCCCUGCCUGCCUCUAUUUACUGCUGCUGCACCUGCCACUUGAUUUUUCAUUUACCUAAAAGGUAAUGUCCCAGCAGCAUGAGGAGACCACAUGGCGGCACAAUGACACAGCCUGGAGGUGGCACAAGCAUGAGAAGACUAAAAUGUGGCAGAAUGACCAAGCCUGGAAGUUGCAGCAGCAAGAGGAGACCAUCUGGUGACCGAAUGACAAAGCCUGGAGGUGGCGGCAGCCUGACCAGACCAAAGGGCAUCACUUUUGAAAAGAUUAAAGAUAUUUUUUUAAAUUGCAUGUGGCCAUGUUAACAUCCUCCAGAUACUUGAUGAAAAACUGCCACACUGCAGAGUAGCUUGCCCGCCUAGCGGAGGAAGCAGGUGAUGUCUCCUCCAC